rnacentral:rRNA from 1 species
ACUCCUACGGGGAGGCAGCAGUGGGGAAUAUUGCACAAUGGGGGAAACCCUGAUGCAGCCAUGCCGCGUGUGUGAAGAAGGCCUUGGGUUGUAAAGCACUUUCAGUAGGGAGGAAGGUAGUGUAGUUAACACCUGCAUUAUUUGACGUUACCUACAGAAGAAGCGCCGGCUAACUCCGUGCCAGCAGCCGCGGUAAUACGGAGGGUGCGAGCGUUAAUCGGAAUUACUGGGCGUAAAGCGCAUGCAGGCGGCCUGUUAAGUCAGAUGUGAAAGCCCGGGGUCUUAACCUCGGAAUUGCAUUUGAAACUGGCAGGCUAGAGUCUUGUAGAGGGGUUAGAAUUUCAGGUGUAGCGGUGAAAUGCGUAGAGAUCUGAAGGUAAUACCGAGUGGCGAAGGCGGCCCCUGGACAAA